rnacentral:rRNA from 1 species
ACAUGGCUCUUUGAGAUUUAUAUAUAAAGAGUCGGGCCUGCCCAGUGAUGUAUUUUUAACGGCCGCGGUACUCUGACCGUGCGAAGGUAGCAUAAUCAUUUGCCCUAUAAUUGAGGGCUAGUAUGAAUGGUUUGACAUGAGCAUAACUGUCUCCUUAAAAUUUUAUAAAAUUUGGUUUUUAGGUGAAGAAACCUAAAUUAAAUUGAAAGACAAGAAGACCCUAUCGAGCUUUAGAAUAAUUAGUUAAAAAAUAUAAAUAAAACAAUUAAUUUUAAUUAAAAACUUUGGUUGGGGCGACUGAGGAACAUAUAAAGCUUCCUUAAUUAGACAAUGCUGAUAAGCAAUGAUCCAGGAAAUCUGAUUAAAAAAAUUAGUUACCGUAGGGAUAACAGCAUAAUCUUUUUUGAGAGCUCUUAUCGAAAAAAAGGUUUGUGACCUCGAUGUUGGACUAGGAUAUCCUAAAGAUGUAGAAGUCUUUAAUGGUUGCUCUGUUCGAGCAUAAAAAUCCUACGUG